UGGGCAGUAUCAUUCGAACUGCACCUUUUCGUAAGAACCAUUCAAUAUUACACUGCCUGUAGCCAAUACGGACCGGGACAGAGGG
rfam:Desulfitobacterium hafniense Y51 DNA, complete genome.